UAAGGUACGUGCUAAUCCCACAGGAAACUGUGCCCCUUUACGGAGACCCGAUAAGUCAAAGUAUGGGGGGGCCCUAUUUAUAGGGCUGGUAGGUUGGUUAUUUUCAGUGGGCAGUGCCGCCUGCGGGUGAAAAUGACCACCUAGAAAUGCUGUGAUGCCCUUAGAUGUUCUGGGCCGCACGCGCGUUACACUGACAGAGCCAGCGAGUUUCUUCCUUGGCAGAAAUGCCCGGGUAAUCUUGUGAAACUCU
rnacentral:rRNA from 1 species